rnacentral:rRNA from 1 species
UACGAAGGGGGCUAGCGUUGCUCGGAAUUACUGGGCGUAAAGCGCACGUAGGCGGUCUUUUAAGUCGGGGGUGAAAUCCUGGAGCUCAACUCCAGAACUGCCUUCGAUACUGGAAGACUCGAGUCCGGGAGAGGUGAGUGGAACUGCGAGUGUAGAGGUGAAAUUCGUAGAUAUUCGCAAGAACACCAGUGGCGAAGGCGGCUCACUGGUCCAUAACUGACGCUGAGGCACGAAAGCGUGGGGAGCAAACAGGG